rnacentral:rRNA from 1 species
UACGUAGGGUGCGAGCGUUAAUCGGAUUUACUGGGCGUAAAGGGCGCGUAGGUGGUAAAGCAAGUAAGAUGUGAAAUCCCUGGGCUUAACCUAGGAAGUGCAUCUUAAACUGCUUAACUAGAGUAUGGUAGAGGGUAGUGGAAUUUCCGGUGUAGCGGUGAAAUGCGUAGAGAUCGGAAGGAACGCCAGUGGUGAAGACGACUACCUGGACCAAUACUGACACUGAGGCGCGAAAGCGUGGGGAUCAAACAGG